rnacentral:rRNA from 1 species
UACGGAGGGUGCAAGCGUUAUCCGGAUUCACUGGGUUUAAAGGGUGCGUAGGUGGGCAGGUAAGUCAGUGGUGAAAUCUCCGGGCUUAACCCGGAAACUGCCAUUGAUACUAUCUGUCUUGAAUAUCGUGGAGGUAAGCGGAAUAUGUCAUGUAGCGGUGAAAUGCUUAGAUAUGACAUAGAACACCGAUUGCGAAGGCAGCUUGCUACACGAUCAUUGACACUGAGGCACGAAAGCGUGGGGAUCAAACAGG